UACGAAGGGGGCUAGCGUUGCUCGGAUUGACUGGGCGUAAAGGGCGCGUAGGCGGUUCGUACAGUCAGACGUGAAAUUCCUGGGCUCAACCUGGGGGCUGCGUUUGAUACGUGCGGACUUGAGUGCGGAAGAGGGUCGUGGAAUUCCCAGUGUAGAGGUGAAAUUCGUAGAUAUUCGGAGGAACACCAGUGGCGAAGGCGGCUCACUGGCUCGAUACUGACGCUGAGGUGCGAAAGCGUGGGGAGCAAACAGG
rnacentral:rRNA from 1 species